GACCGCCUAGGCGGCGCCCUGAUCAGACCCCUGACAGCAAUACAGUUAUACACUUAUACAGGCAUACAGCAUAGUUUACUACUUUACUGUCUACUGUUGCCAACAGUACUCCAAUUAAAAAUACAAUCCAAAAAAUAAAAUACAAUUGAAAAUUAAAAUUCCAACAUCAACAGCAGCAGCCGGAGUAGAGAGAAGAGAGAAGAAGCAGCAGCAGCAACAAUAGAGAGAACUGAGAAGAGAGAAGAAGCAGCAGCAACAGCAACGGAGAAGAGAGAAGAAGCAGCAGCGAAGACAGCAGCAGCAGGAGAAGAGAGAAGCAGCAGCGUUAAUUCUGGACUGGACAUGGGCUUUUUUUAUUUUGGGCCGCUUGAGCGCCUCUGUAUUGACCGCCCUGAGCAGAGCGCUGCGCCUGGGCGCCGCCCAGGCUGAUCGAAGCGUUUUAGGCGCUAUUUUGCCGCAGCGAAGCGACCCCUUUCCGAAAUAGCGUCGCCGCCUAGGCGCCGCCCCUGACAGCAUAGCUAAAAAUCAAAUAAAGUCUAAUGAAGAAAUGAUCAUCAAUGUACGUAGUUGCUCUGCCCCAUGGUUGGGUCUUCACUCUUUCCUUUGGCUCGCUUCUCACUUUGUUAUGCGACCAUUAUAAACUCGACAACAUAUAAGGAAAUCAAACACACACAAAUUUGCCUGGAACAAACCUUAUGAUUAAUUAGCAAUGGUGCAACUACUAUUAC
rnacentral:lncRNA from 1 species